CAGUGCCUGCAAGGCACACAGAAGUAUUUUGAAAGUAUAUAAGCAGCGGCCCGGAAGGUGAGGAAAGGCUUCCCAAAAAGAGUUGGCACCUGAACAGCCAAGGGUUUUGAAAGAUGAAUAGGCCUAGGACAAUCAGACAUGGGAUCAAAGGGCAUUCCAGAUUGUGCAAAACACUGGCAGAAACAUAACAGCUUGAAAACUACUGGAAGAACUCAUUCACCAUCAGUGAAGGAAAGCUGGUCUAUUGCACGCUUAAGCUUUCCAAGAAAAAAAACAAGCUUUCAAAUAAGGAGCGGAGGAAGAAAGUUUCACCACUGCUUGUUUUGUUAAGCCUCUUAGCCUCGCUUUCCUUUGUUUUGGUCUGUUUUGUUCCCUCUUAAAGAAAUAAAGUACUGUGCUGGCAUAAAACUUCAGUGAGGAAAAGUACUUCAACUUUACUGUGGAAUAAGAAAAAUGCUAAGUGGGCAUGGGCCAAGGAAUGAAUAAAUGAAUGAAUGAAUGAAUAAAUGAAUGAAAAAAUAAAUAAAACUUUUCUGGAAUACAUAAAUGGAGCACAAUUAAAAAUUCAGGCAUCAUGGACCUGAAAUACUAAUUCCAACAAUUCCAACGUUUCUCUUCACCAACUUAAUACAUACUUACAGUGUUUUGUGCCCACUAUUUGUUAGUUUCGGGGAUACUAGGCCUAUGAGGCACUUUCAUUGUCCUCCUUUUUGAGCGAGCUCUGGCUUGCAAUUUAGUAAAAGAAAUAAGCAGAGGACAAUUCACUGUAGCCUGUUCCCUCCACGGUUGCCAACUUAAAGCCUGAAACUCCUGCAGAGUUAAAUUCCAGUCAAGUUAGCCGUGAGGUCAAACACACUUCAAUAAUAAUUACACCGACAACAACUGAGAUGUGAGAAACUGACAGAGGUCGUUGGUAGAAUUGUCUCAUCACCUCUUCCUGUGAACCCGGAGUUCGCGGAGUUGGCGAGCUGGUGGAGGACCGCCUAGCCAGGGGCCUGAACACAAGAGGGGACAGAGUGGGGGUAGAGUUACCUGGGAGCUCAGGUAGACUUUGAGGCACUCCUCGCACACGGCCUUCUUGCAGCAGGGCAAGGGCUUGAUGGGCUUGUCUUCCAGGCACACCCGGCACAUCAGCACCAUGAGGGGCACAUAGGGAUCCCCUACCCCACCCAGGUCAGAGUAGGGUGGAGCUCCCAACAGGCUGGGCACGGAGAAUGGCUCGGGCGCCAGGUAGAACUCCAGCUCGAUGCUGCCGCCGUCGGGGGACAAGGGGUCCGUCGGGAGGGACAGCCGGGGGCUGGGGAAGGAGGUGGGGGUGCUGGGAACGUUCGUCACCGGCGGAGCCCGAGGUGAAGAUGCGGGUGGCGAGGGCUGCUCCGCGGUGGGGGCCUCGGGCAGGUCGUUCUCCACGCAGAACACGGAGCAGAAGACUUGUCUCUUGGCGGGGAUUGGGCGCCGCUGACCCAGCACGUCCAAGACCAGUUCGUCCGCGGCCCCGACGCGGGUCCUGGGCUCCGGCUCUUCGCCCUGGGGCACGUCCUGCUGUUCAUGCCCUCCCUCGUCUCGGCCCCCUGCUUCCUCCUCCUCUUCCAGCUGCUGCUGCAAAGUCUGGGGGUUGAGGGGCCCGCUACCAUAAACACUAUUAAUCACUGCUGCAGGGAAGACGCUGGCUCCAGGCACCAAAAGAAGACAUUGUUUAUGAGUUCUCUGGAAGCCAUGGAAGAAGAGCCCAAAAGUUUUAAAGGUUAAGGAUUUUAGUCCUUACUUCAUAUAUACAUCCCUGGGCAGCACCAGAUGGGAGUAGAGGGCCUGGAAACCCUUCCUGAGUGGCUGACUGUGGAACCCAAAGACAUCCAGUUGAGGGCCUUGUGCGAAUCUCGAGCUGUUGGUCAUGGUGAGGAAGCCAAGCCUGCGCACACGGUGACCACAUACAGAUGUUUGCAGCAUCUGCAGCUGUGGCUCCUCUGCGCCAGGUCCUCCUCCUCCAGGACUUUCUCCCUGCGCCUUGGCACGGCCACCUGCAAACCACUUGCUGGACACAGAGCACAUGGUAGGUGGCUGAGCCUGCGGUCCCGGGCCCUCGAGCGGGCGGCUGCUGGCCCUUGAGAAGGCUACCGGCAAAGGAUGGUGGGAAAAGUGGCUGCUGCAGCUUCUCCAGCACCCCCACGUGGUGCGUAGGACACCAAGACGUGAAAACCACAGGGAACGGAUGUUGGUGAGAGAGACCCUAUGGUCGUGAUAGGACCACAUUUAAGACAUGGUGACCCUAAGGGAGGAAUAAUUCCAGAGUCUUCCCCUGAAGUCCACCCUCUGCCUGACAGCCGUAAUUGUUAAGAAAUCUCAUUUCAUGUCUCAAUGGAAAGUGUUUGGGAAGGUGUGGUGGAUGGAAGGAAGUUGUUCGAAGAAGGUAAGAAUGACAUAUUCUGUGACUGCAUGAAUAAAAAGUCACUGUAAUCAGAGACAGAUCUUCUUUGACAUCAAAGGGAAACAUAGCUACUCACAUCUGCAUACUGCUCUCUGGAGAUUUAUUUUGUUUCCUAGAGGUUAGAACUGUGGGCUCUGCAGACAGAUUGUGUUGUGAGAUUUGGAUCUGUCACUUAGAUGCUGUGGCCAGGAGAGUACUGUGUGGCACUUAUAGCUUUAAUGUCAUCUUAUACUGCAUAUUGUUAAAAAUGGAAAAUGGAGUAAGGAGGGGACUUUGCUACUCUAGUGCUUCCAAUAUAUGUCCACAUACAGAAAUAUGAAGGAAAAAAAAUCUCUUAAUUACAUAAAAUAUAGUUAUUUCAAUUUACUCUUUUAACACAUGGUGUCUUGAUUCAUGAUGCAGUAUAAUUAGGUAUAUUUUCAGUUUCUAAAUGCAUUUCCACAAUAUAUCCAUCCUACUUUAAAUAUAUUGGAUACAUACUAUGCCUUACCUCAACAGUUCUUAUUUUAAAAUUUUAGUGGGAAGGAUUUAGAAAAAACCUUUGUUGUUAUUCUUGAAAUUUAUUCUUAAACCUGCAGAACUAGAUUGAAUUGUAGCCAUGAAAUGUUAGUGCCCUUGCACCAUAAUGGAUUUCAAUCAUCAUGACAAAACUCUUUCUUUAAUAGAAGUGUAAUAAAAACCUGACUAAUUAUGCAUAUAACGAGAUAUUUGAUCCAAUUCACUGGAAAGUCUGAAAAUACUCCCAGCCUUGGUAUCCAAGGUAUCCAAUCUAUCCUUUUUGUGUUUCAUUCUUUUUUGAAAUAAUCAUCCUUUCCUUCUUAGUAAAAACAUCCCAGGAUUAUUUUUUAAUAAUAAACGCACUAUCCCAGUUCCAUUUAUUCCAGUAACAAAAUGGGGGUAAGUCUGAAGUGGAGUAGAUGUAGAAUUUUUUGGUCUCGGCUUCUGUAGCAAGCAGGUCUAGCUAGCGUUAUGGAUGGGCAUAUGACACGUUUCAUUGCACAUGGUCCCCACACUCAGAGGAGUCUGGUGCUUGGUUUAAUGUUCUACUAUCCUCUUCAUGAAAUUCUUAAUAUAUUAUUCUUGAGCAUGUGGUGAGUAGACAAGAUAUCCUGGGGUGACAGCCUGCAUGAAAGUUUGUGAUCUAGCAGCAAUACCGGAGGGCACAGGCUUAGGCCCCAGGGCACAGCAUGCAGUCUGCAGAGCAAUUGGCCUGGGCUGCCUCAGGGCAGUCGGAGGAGCUGCUGGGCUGGGGACCAACUGAGGAUAAGAUUGGCGGGGGUGACAGUGGCCCCAACAGCAGCAGAAGGGGCAGCUCUACCCCUGGGGGGAAGCAGGGGCCCUUGGCAGCCCUAGGAACUGGGGGGAGGCCAGCUUGCCUAUUAAUUCCCCAAAAGCCCUCGUCCCUGUAGCUUUUGCACAAAUGCUAACUAUGACUUUAGUGCUGGGACACGAACCGCUGGUGCUCGGGCAGUAAGCAUCGUCAGAAAAUUAUUAUAAGGUAAACGUAUACACGUCAGUGUUUAAUAAAGCAUUAUCAGAGCACCAUUGGGAUUAUUCAAAGAGUUUGGAAUCUCUCGUUUUGAGAACUUCAGCAAUGUUGUAAAAAAAACAGAUCCGUGGGCUCACACAUAAAAAGUAGAGACUAGUAUCAGUAAUAGACAGAAGAUAAUAUUUUCAUAAGAUGCUUCAGAAGAACAAAUUAUUGAGAAAGACAAUUUUACAAUUAUUUUUCUUGUAACUGAACAUAUAGCAGUAGAUUACUUAAGUGGGUGUUUUUAAGUACAUGGAAACCAGGAAGCCAUUUUUAGCUUCUUGAACAAGUUACAGGAAAUGUCAGAGGAAACACUAAGAUCCUAUUAUAUAAUAUUUCUUUAAAACUUUUGUUUAACGUUUAUUUAUUUUUGAGAAAGACAGAGGGAAAGAGAGAGAGAGAGUGCUAGGGCAUGCAGGCUAGUGGGGGAGAGGCAAAGAAAGAGGGAGACACAGAAUCUGAAGCAGUCUCCAGGCUCUGAGCUGUCAGCACAGAGCCUGACGUGGGUCUUGAACCCAUGAGCCGUGAGAUGGCGACUUGAGCUGAAGUCGGAUGCUUAACCGACUGGGCCACCCAGGCGCCUUUAUAAUUUUCUUUAAAAUUUGAUUCAGGUUUACAUGAAAGUGAUUUUUUAUGAAGUUUGAUCUUUUUUAGAAAAAUUGUUCUGUGAAUGAUUAACUCAAAUGACUAAUAUUUAUAAGUAGUUUAUUAGAAAUUUACUGCAAUGUUGUCACUGUUUAUAAAAUAUUCUUCAUGGCUCUAGUAACAGUGACAGAAGCAGGGAGAUUCUUCUCUAAAUUAAAAACUAUAGUUUCAUAAAAAUUAUAAAAGGUUGUGAUGCAUUUGCCAAGAGUGACUGACAUCACUUUCAUUUGUAUUGAUUAAAAAGGAAUUGGUUCAAAGUAUACAUUUUGAUGACUUAAUAUUAAGUUAGAGAAAGGUGAGUCAAAUAUCUUAUUAUCAGUCAAGAUAUCCCACUAAUAAAGUAUUGUAUUCAUUGUAUUAUUUAAAAUUAUGACAUCUAAGUAUUUUUUAUUAUUUAUAUUUUGUGUUGUUAUUUAUGUGUUACUAUUUGCCCUUAUUAUGUUUUAUAAGUAAUAACAUACUUUAGAAGGAAAAGUCUUAAUAUUUUAGUACCUUUAGUAGCACUCAUUUUCUACUCUGAACAAGAGCUCCACAUUUGCAUUUUUCACGGGUCCUACAAACUAUGUAGCCACCCCUGAUAGCAAGAUAUAGACAGGUUACUUGACCUAUUGGAAAUGGAAAUGUUUCGAGUCUGAGAGCAUUUGCUUUUUGGCACUCAAUACAAACACCGAGUAUGUUUUGUUUUUCCAUUAAUUGUUAGCACGGGCCCCUGCCUCUCAACCCUCUGGCCCUGCCCUACCGAUCUGCUUUUGCAGAUGCAAAGACUAGUUCCAUAGGUGUCUGGAACACAAAGUUUUUACAUCUUUACCAGUGGAGGAUUUUUCAUAAUCUUUACUAAAUUUGGUAAGUUCCCCGUGAUUUAUCAUUUGUAACUACGUGUUCAUUUGCUUGACUUCAUCCUGAGAGUGUCGGUCAGCCUGAGAUAACAAUGACAAGAGGCUCAGGUGUCCUGGGGUCCUCCAGUUUGAAGCUUGGAAGAUUUAUGUCUAGACAGCAGUUUGCAAAACCUCUCUGCACAUGGAGAUCAACAUAUCCCCAAAGGAUAUAAUGAGUAAAACUAGAAGAAUAAUGAAGAAAAAUGACAGGCACACAAAAGGGGAAUAAACAGGGUAUGCCUCUGGUAAAUAACUCCCCGAAGGACUCUUAGAAAAGACUUGCUGAUUAAUUGAAUCAAUCCAUCAUCCUUGGGGUGACAGCAUCAAUUUGCAAUCUUUUUUUGGGAGUUGUUUUAUUCCAUUGCUGUUACAGCUUAAAUUCAUAUGAGAGUAGAAUGAGAGGUUAAAAAAUAUAACUGUUUUGUUACUAAGGGGCCACAAUUCUGUGCUCUCAUUAUAGAGAAGGCUUACAUUAAUUUUAAUAAAGGUUUGGACUGUAUCAGAGCAUCAACAUGUGGCUUAUAACAGGAUUUUUCCUCUCUGAAUUUAUCAUAUAGAAAUAAACUUUCAAUACCUAUACAAAUUUUGAGCUCAUUUGCAUCUAAACUCCAUGUUUGAGGAUUUUUAAAAAAUGAUCUUCAUUAUAAUUCUAAAGAAUAUAAAAAGAAGUGCCUUUAUCCCUUUUUAGGAGAAACUCACCAUCAUUUUCUUUGUUGUCACUGACAGUCAUAACUCAUGAUACCGUUGCAGAUUUCGGUGGUAAAUGAGACUCUGGAAUGCAUUAUCCAGUUCAAGUUUUUGUUGAAUUAAAAGGCAUAGAGCACAUACAUGUAUUAGAGAUUUUGCUCUUAUAGUUAUCAAAAGUGAUUGUUUCCGGAUACUAGCAUGUUUUAAAUUGGACAUAAUACAUCAAUCACAGAUUUUGUUCUUUCCUUUCUCGGGAGUGAGUGGAAGGAAGAUGUAAUAAAAUGAAAAGGAUUGAACACAGAUCCUAAGCAAAGAUUCACAUGUGGUGAGAAUAACUGGGGCUUCAGUGUUUUACAAUGUAAGGAUCUUGGUAUCAAAGCUUUCUGAGUACAAGUGUUUAGUGCUGAAAUUUUAUCAGAGAUGGAUCAAAUGUCUGAAGGAAGAUAGUCUUGUCAAUCGUGGUAUUUUCAUGAUGAAACAGUUCAAGUAAUCUCAAUCUCUCUAAUAUUAACUAUUCACAAAUGCAUUAUACGAGAAAUAACAGAAAAACUUCUAAACCUUGAAAACAAACAUAAUUUGUCGACGACAUUUACAUGUGGGUAUGAGUUUUGGUGUAUAAAAAACUGUAAGAUAAUAAAACAUAUUUAACAUUGAGACUAUAUUGAACCUAAUACACAAUAAUUCAGACACAUUUCAUGAUCUUAUACUAUCUUAGAGUCUUCCUUAUCAGGGUUCAUUCUGAUUUAACAGUCCAGGGUCAGUUGACAAAUCCCAUUGCCUGGGAUUUGAUUUAUUCUAUUCUGGUCAGAGUAUGCAUACAGGAAUUUGUUGUAGAAUGGUGAGUGAUUUGCAUUUUCACAAUAAAUGGUAGUCUUGAGUAAUUUCUUGAUCUCUGUGGGCCUUAGCUUACUGUCUCUACAAUAAAUGGGUUUGGAUCUCAAAAGUUUGUUCUGUAAUGUAACCUACAUAAAAUGAGCUUGUAUUUCUGAGUUUAUGACCCAUUUGUUAUAGUAUAAUGGAAUGUUGGCUAUUUCUUUCACUGUAUUAGAGAUUAGGAUUUGAACAGUUACAAAUGAAGAUCUUGGUGCCAUCAACAAAUAAUAUUUAUUACUUACCAAAUGCACACCUUAUUUGAGAACUCCAGAGGUGGGAAUCUUUUCUUUAGGGUGUAUAUAUAUAUAUAUAGUUGCUUUAUUAACUUUUAUCCCUUUUUUUGCAACUGAGAUGUGUGUAUUUGACCUCACAGUAUGAAGCAACAUCCUGCCAGUCAUCCACAAUGAACCAUAUCAACACACCUUUCACACAGGGAACAAAAGUAAAAACAGGCUUCAUCAUUUCCAAGACUCACCGUGUGGCCAGGAUGUCAAAUUCUACAAGUUGAUCUUCAGCUUCUUGGAAUGUUGCCUCAAAGCCUUUUUUAUUUUCAAUCGAUUUCUGCAUUUUGGAUUCUGGGGGUUGUGCAAUGAAAGAGCCCCAACAGCAGCCCAAGCUUGAGACAGCCCAAGCCUGAUCCCUCUACCUUCUCUCCCUUUCAGCUACACAGUGAACCUCAGCUGAAAUUAUGGUUACGCAAUCAUAAAUUCCUUGGGUGAAUCUUUUCUGCUUGCCUACCCUACCCCAACAUGGUUCACUUAUAGUGUUGUCAACGAUUGGUCCUCAAAGGAGCAAUGACUAAAUGAGUAUUCUAAAUAAUUUUAUUUUAAAUAAUUUGACCUUUAAAAAAAGAAAAAAACCCACCUCUGUUAAGCAAAGGUUUUUAACAUAGUGCCCUAACACCUCUGUCAGCUAUUAGCCCGAUGCUAACUCUAAAUUCCAGAUUGAAAGGAAAAAAAAAAGUUCUCCAAAUGACAGCAAGUCUAUUCCAGGCAGUCUUGUAAAAGAUCCCUUAGUGUUAGGGGAUAAUGAAAGUGCGUGCUACCUAUGACUGAGCUAACAUGGUGCCAUGACCUGGCAAUUUCUUUUUAUUGCUGACAUAUCCAUUCCUGCAUAGCACAGAACAUCAGCGUUGCCUUCAUGUAAAUUUAAUAGGUUUUCCUUGUCAAUGAUAUAAUCAGAUACACUGUGAGAAGGAGGGGCUUUCAGGGAUGGCUCAGAAGCUUAAUUGUUUUUCCAUUUAUUUUUAAAAUGCAAAUUACACUAGUAAGUCAAAAAAAUCACUCUGUUAAAAAUACAUUCAGAAUUAACAAACGCAAAAAAAAAAGACACAUCAGGAUUGUAACUCUUGCCUUCUGAAUAUUAGGUUUAUAACAAAAGCUCAGCCUAGAAAAAUAGCAUUCUUCACCGGAUUUUGAGGAGGAAUCAGCUGUACAACUCAGAUGGUUUUCCAGAUAUAAUCACACUACUGUGCUCACUGCUCCCAAAAGAAGACCUGUCCACGAAUUACUCUUUAGUAGUCAACAACUGGUUUUGAAAAUUUUGGUGGUGAUGAUAGUAGUGAUUAAGUGGUAGCUUGGCUGCAACUUAAAGCAGGAAUAUGAGGGCUUGUUCUCUGUGCACUUAAAUCUCUAUCCAUAUACAUGUCCUAUAAGGUGGGAAUCUCAUCACAGCAUGAAUGUACAGUGAAACCUCAUUUUAAUUUUCACAUUAAUAGUCACAUUAGAAUAGUUUCUGGCAUGUAGAGUAUUUAAAUUUUAAGAAUCAGAGGACAAUAAAUUGGUAAAUAUUUUUUUCCUACAUUAAACAUGCAUGUCACUAUAAAAUCAUCAUAUGAGGUUUCACUGACAUGUUUGCAAUUAUUUAUUUUAUACAUGUAUGUAUGGACAAACAUAUACAAGCCACUGAGAAAAUUCAAGCACAAGUGCUGGAACCUUUUUUUUUUUUUUUUUUUUUUUAGUUUAUGUU